rnacentral:RNase_P_RNA from 1 species
GAAAGUGCCACAGUGACGUAGCUUUUAUAGAAAUAUAAAAGGUGGAACGCGGUAAACCCCUCGAGUGAGCAAUCCAAAUUUGGUAGGAGCACUUGUUUAACGGAAUUCAACGUAUAAACGAGACACACUUCGCGAAAUGAAGUGGUGUAGACAGAUGGUUAUCACCUGAGUACCAGUGUGACUAGUGCACGUGAUGAGUACGAUGGAACAGAACAUGGCUUAUAGAA